rnacentral:tRNA from 1 species
GCCCUCGUAGUUCAGCCCGGAUAGAACACCGCACUUCUAAUGCGUUUGUCGUAGGUUCAAAUCCUACCGAGGGUG